CAUUUUUCUCUUUUUGUGAGUGUGUAUGUGUAUGCUUCUUUGUGUGAUUUUUGUAUAGCUUUGUUUUCACCAUUUGUCCUAGGAUUGUGUCUGUCUAUUUCUUUUUUUUUUUUUUCAGUAUAGUUUUUAGCGCUUGUUAUCAUUGGUGGAUUUGUUUUUUGGUUUGGUUGCUCUCUUUUUUUUUUCCUUUUCUUUUUAUUUUAAAAUUUUUUAAUUUUUAAUAAUUUUUUAAAUUUUUUAUUUUAAUAAUUUUCUUUUUCUUUUUUUUUUUCAUUCUUCUGUCUCCCUUUUCUUCUGAGCUGUGUAGCUGACAGGGUCUUGGUGCUCCAGCUGGGUGUCAGGCCUGUGCCUCCGAGGUGGGAGAGCCAAGUUCAGAACAUUGGUCCACUAGAGACCUGGCUAUGCAUAAUAUCAAAUGGCGAAAGCUGUCCCAGAGAUCUCCAUCUCAAUGCUAAGACCCAGCUCCACUCAACGACCAGCAAGCUACAGUGGUGGACACCCCAUGCCAAACAACUAGCAAGACAGGAACACAACCCCCACCCAUUAGCAGAGAGGCUGCCUAAAAUCAUAAUAAGGUCACAGACACCCCAAAACACACCACGAGAUGCGGUCCUGCCCACCAGAAAGACAAGAUCCAGCCUCAACCACCACAACACAAGCACCAGUCCCCUCCACCAGUAAGCCUACACAACCCACUGAACCAACCUUAGCUACUGGGGACAGACACCAAAAACAACGGGAACUACGAACCUUCAGCCUGCGAAAAGGAGACCCCAAACACAAGACAGCACUACACAUAUGCAAGAGGGAACCCGUGUCUCCAGGGUAACCCCAGAACCAACAAUCUUCAGUCCACGGAACUUGGAGAAUAAAAUUGUUACCCCGGAGCCCUUUACAAAACAAGGAUUCCUUCAAUGAAGAAAAUCUGGCUUCCAGCAGCAGGAGUAGUUUCUAUGGACUAAUUCAAGACUAGCCAGUCAGCUUCCGGGUUUGAAAUUCCCCUAUCCCCUUAAUUUUUGCCUCAAACCCUGGAUCUAUGAAACAGGUUUGAGAACCUUGCCUCCUGUCUCCUUGCCGGUCAACCUGGCAAUAAAGGUCUUUCUCUUCUCAAAA